GCUGGAGGUAUCAGAAGUGCGAAUGCUGACAUAAGUAACGAUAAUGCGGGUGAAAAACCCGCACGCCGGAAGACCAAGGGUUCCUGUCCAACGUUAAUCGGGGCAGGGUGAGUCGACCCCUAAGGCGAGGCUGAAAAGCGUAGUCGAUGGGAAACGGGUUAAUAUUCCCGUACUGGUGGUAACUGCGAUGGGGGAACGGAGAAGGCUAGGUUGUCCGGGCGACGGUCGUCCCGGUUCAAGCAGGUAGGCAGAGUGAUUAGGCAAAUCCGGUCACUUAAUGCUGAGAUGUGAUGACGAACCACCAAGGUGGUGAAGCAAUUGAUGCCCCGCUUCCAGGAAAAGCCUCUAAGCUUCAGGUUACCAACAAUCGUACCCCAAACCGACACAGGUGGUCAGGUAGAGAAUACUCAGGCGCUUGAGAGAACUCGGGUGAAGGAACUAGGCAAAAUGGUGCCGUAACUUCGGGAGAAGGCACGCUGGCGGUAGGUAAAGUCCCUCGCGGACGGCGCUGAAGCCAGUCGAAGAUACCAGCUGGCUGCAACUGUUUAUUAAAAACACAGCACUGUGCAAACACGAAAGUGGACGUAUACGGUGUGACGCCUGCCCGGUGCUGGAAGGUUAAUUGAUGGGGUCAGCCGUAAGGCGAAGCUCCUGAUCGAAGCCCCAGUAAACGGCGGCCGUAACUAUAACGGUCCUAAGGUAGCGAAAUUCCUUGUCGGGUAAGUUCCGACCUGCACGAAUGGCGUAAUGAUGGCCAGGCUGUCUCCACCCGAGACUCAGUGAAAUUGAACUCGCUGUGAAGAUGCAGUGUACCCGCGGCAAGACGGAAAGACCCCGUGAACCUUUACUAUAGCUUGACACUGAACAUUGAGCCUUGAUGUGUAGGAUAGGUGGGAGGCUUUGAAGUGUGGACGCCAGUCUGCAUGGAGCCAACCUUGAAAUACCACCCUUUAACGUUUGAUGUUCUAACCUAGGCCCAUAAACUGGGUCGGGGACCGUGUCUGGUGGGUAGUUUGACUGGGGCGGUCUCCUCCUAAAGAGUAACGGAGGAGCACGAAGGUUGGCUAAGCAUGGUCGGACAUCAUGCGGUUAGUGCAAAGGCAUAAGCCAGCUUGACUGCGAGAGUGACGGCUCGAGCAGGUACGAAAGUAGGUCUUAGUGAUCCGGUGGUUCUGAAUGGAAGGGCCAUCGCUCAACGGAUAAAAGGUACUCCGGGGAUAACAGGCUGAUACCGCCCAAGAGUUCAUAUCGACGGCGGUGUUUGGCACCUCGAUGUCGGCUCAUCACAUCCUGGGGCUGAAGUAGGUCCCAAGGGUAUGGCUGUUCGCCAUUUAAAGUGGUACGCGAGCUGGGUUUAGAACGUCGUGAGACAGUUCGGUCCCUAUCUGCCGUGGGCGUUGGAAGAUUGAGAGGGGUUGCUCCUAGUACGAGAGGACCGGAGUGAACGCACCACUGGUGUUCGGGUUGUCAUGCCAAUGGCAUUGCCCGGUAGCUAAGUGCGGAAGAGAUAACCGCUGAAAGCAUCUAAGCGGGAAACUUGCCUCGAGAUGAGUCUUCCCUGUCGCUUUAAGUGACCUAAAGGAACGUUUAAGACUAAGACGUUGAUAGGCUGGGUGUGUAAGCGUAGCGAUACGUUGAGCUAACCAGUACUAAUGAACCGUGAGGCUUAACCUG
rnacentral:rRNA from 1 species